GGUAGUCCACGCCGUAAACGAUGGCCACUAGGUGUGGGGGUAUCGACCCCCUCCGCGCCGCAGCUAACGCGAUAAGUGGCCCGCCUGGGGAGUACGGCCGCAAGGCUAAAACUCAAAGGAAUUGACGGGGCCCGCACAAGCAGCGGAGCGUGUGGUUUAAUUCGACGCAACGCGAAGAACCUUACCAGGGCUUGACAUGCCCGGUUUCAGCCCCGGAAACGGGUGUCCCGCAAGGGAGACGGGCACAGGUGCUGCACGGCUGUCGUCAGCUCGUGCCGUGAGGUGUUGGGUUAAG
rnacentral:rRNA from 1 species